GAUGAAGAACGUAGCGAAAUGCGAUAAGUAAUGUGAAUUGCAGAAUUCAGUGAAUCAUCGAAUCUUUGAACGCACAUUGCGCCCGCCAGUAUUCUGGCGGGCAUGCCUGUCUGAGCGUCAUUUCAACCCUCAGCCCCCGCUCGCGGGGCGCUGGCGUUGGGGAUCGGCUGUCCUCGCGGCGGCCGGCCCCGAAACACAGUGGCGGUCUCUCGCGGACUCCCCUGCGUAGUAGCACUACCUCGCAGAAGGGACGAGCGGGCUGACCACGCCGUAAAACCCCCCACUUCUCCAGGUUGACCUCAGAUCAGGUAGGAAUACCCGCUGAACUUAAGCAUAUCAAUAAGCGGAGGA
rnacentral:misc_RNA from 1 species